GGGGUUAAUUUAAUAAAUAAUAAAUAUGAAAAAAAAUUUUAAUAUAAUAUAUUUAAUGGGGGUUAAAGUAUUUUUAUAGAAAAAAUUUAAAAAUUUAUAGUGGAAUAGUAUUGUGAAAGAAAUAUUGAAAAUAUUGAAAUAAAAAUUUAUUUAAAAGUAAAUUUUAUUUAUUGUAUCUUGUGUAUCAGAGUUUUUUAAAAAAAGAAAAUUGGGUAAAUUUAUUUCGAAAUUUAAAGAGUUAAUUAAUUAAAAAAGUUAAUAUUGCAUAAUUAUUUUAAAUAGUUAAUUGGAAAUGAAAAGUUAAUCGUUUUGAAUGAUAUCUAAUUUUUUUAGAAAAAAGUUUAAUUUUAAAUAAAUUUUAAAAAUAAUUAAUUAAUUAAUUAUUUUUAAAAUUUAAUUUUAUAUUUUAGGGGAUAAGCUUUAAAUUAGAAUUUUAUAAUAAAAGUAAAAAAAAAAAUUGAAAUUUUUAAAAUUUAUAUUUUUUAUAAAUUAUAGUUUAUUAUCAAUAAUUUCAUUUAAUUAAAAUUUUAUUUUAAUUUAAAUUUUUAUAAAAAAAUAUUUUUUAAUUAAAUAAAAAUAGGUAUAAUGAUAAAAUUAGUAUAUAAUUUAUAAAUAAAAUAAAAAUUAUUUAAAUUAAUAAAAAGGAAUUCGGCAAAAAU
rnacentral:rRNA from 1 species